GUCCCGUGCGCGGUCUGGCCGCUGGAAGCCCGGAGGCUCUCGGAAGUUUUGAUUUGGAACCAGGAAAGGGUUUGAACUCUCUCAGAGUUGUGGGGAGAGGCCACGGUUUCCGGACGUGAAGAACGUCGAAGAAAUUGUUGUUGGCGGUUAUUAGGUUGCGGUUUUCACAUGCGGCCAGCCCAGGAGCUGAGAUUUUAAGAGAUUAUCCCUCCUCCCUUCCCCCGCCAGAAACUUAGAAAUUGGUAUCCAAAGUGCCCUCUCCUGCUGUCCUUAAGGAUUAAAAACCCAGCCUUAUGCUGGCACUUGGCCCUACCUCUGGGUGAGGGGAGAUGGGAAAGCGCUUGGGGCAGGUGAAACUCCAGAUGGGGGUAGGGGGCGCUAGGGAGGGUAAUCUCAUUAGAAUGUCUCUCAUGGCUCCUGGGGUUCCCUGAGUCGCUAAUUUAGGAGCUAAAAAGAACUCCAGAGAUUCUGUAAUAUCCCAUGAAAUGGUCCUCAGCCUCUCUUUGAAACGUGUCCAGUGACAGACCUCAAUUGUAGGUUUUCUGACAGGGUGUUGAUUUGGGUGGCUCCCUCUGCCCUGGAUACCCACCAGUUGUGAGAGGGCAUCAUAUCCCUUUGCAGCCCUGUGGAGAAUGCCUGGGUGGGAGUGUGCACCUGCCUCUUGGCCACACCACACCACACCACACCACACCACACCACACCACACCACACCUUGGCCCGCUGUGCAUAGCAGAAGCUGGGAAGGGGCCUGUGUGGCUAAAUCGAGGUUGGCUGGUUGGUUACUGAAAGGAGAGAAUUUACUUGUAAUUUCCUGGGUUUCCUUGGCUGUUUGUUUGGAGUGGAGAUCAUUUGGUCCCCGGGGAAUCUGGGAGGAAAAGGGAAGUCCUUGGAAAGGAGUUAGGUGCCCUCCCUGGGUAAGAAUGAGUUGGCUAACCUGCCCUCUGCACUAGGAAGCCUUAUUCCCUGAUAUGCAUCCCUUUUCUGGGUUUAACUUCACGGAACACCCAGCAGUGGCGGGGAAUUGUAAUACAAAAAAAGAGCUAUGUGGUCCCACCUGUUCUUUUUACAGAUGAGGACGCUGACACCUAGUAAAAGAGCGUUCAGGGUCACAGAACCAGCUGGUGGCAGAGGUGGGACUCAGGUCUCCUGAUUCCCAGGCCUAUUCUCUCUCUCCUACCCCGUACAUAAUAGGGGCCAGCACGAAACAGAUGGCACAUUAUGAAUGGGUAAUUUGAGGCAGGGUGUAGGGAAAGAACCGUGGAUAGUGAAAUGUUCUGGGGCUUGUAACAGAGGGAUCUUACCAUCUCUACGCCUCGAGGCAGAGAGGCUGUGUGGAGGGUCAUUUUGCUAGAGCUAGGACUUCAGGUCAAGGGGUUCAGGAAGGCAGUUGGGAGGAAAUAAAAUCCCUCUGAUUUGUCAAGGCUCUCCAUGUACUAAACCCCAUGGGAAGUCAGAGGGCAAAGGAGACUUGAUUAGUCCAUGCAGGAAAAUUCCAGAACACAGUACAGAUAGAAAAGGAUGCAGAAAGUACCUAGAGGAGCAACGAAAGGUAUCCAAUAUAACAUGUGACCUUACUUCUGCUCGUUUAUUAAUAGUUUACACUUCUUGAGCACUUACUCUGCAUUGUGUGUGUCCAUUAUCUCAUUGCAUUUUCCCAUAAACCCAGUUUUCUCCAUUUGACAGAUAAGGGAACUGACAAGUGAAACAACUUGAGGAAUGGAGAUGUGAACAGCUAACGGGACACCUGCCUCUCCGGGAUCUUAUCUUGGGUAUAGUAGUUCCUUCGUGGAUGUUUGUGCGGUGGAUGAUGGAGUGAAUGAAUGCACAAAUGAACAAGGAGCAAACACACGUAGGAUUAGGUGGCAAAGCUCCCUGAAGACCCUUAGUGUGCCUUCCUCCAUGAGACUGGAGGCUCUCUGCAGAGGUGAGUCCUGUGCCUGGCGGUAUCUCUGUUGCUGGCUUGUAAUGAGCCAGGUAUUCAGGUUAAAAGAUCAGGUGUCUAGAUGUGCAAAACACCUUGGACUUCUGGGCUUUCCUAGUGGAAGUUUUUGGAAUUAAGCAGUUUUCUCUCUCGGUGCCAUCUUGAUCCAGUCCUGAUUUCUGAUGCCCCCACAAUCUGGGCAGGGGUCCAGCGUGCUGCCUCAUCUCUGCUCGGCUCCUACCCAUCGCUCCACCUACAAGCUCAGUUCUGCUCCUUGCAUCACUGGUGUCGAUCCUGGAACACGGCGUUCUUCAGGGAGAAACCACCUACCAGCGUGGUGGGGAGUUUUAGCAGCAUCCCUACGGUGGCCUGCCCUGGAGCAGAAAGCUCAGUGUGGAGGCUUUGUUUCCUUUCUCCGCAGUCCCUCUUCCCUCACCAUCUCCUCGCUUUAGAAUCCCCUUGUAUUGGCCUCUUCCUUCCUCGAGGGCCCCACACAGUCUUUCACUUGUUCACUGUCCAGUCUGCUCAAGCCAGGAAGAAGAGCCUCACAUAGACUGAUCACUUGCCCUGCCUGCCACCGUGCCUCAUGUGUCCUCUCCAUCAUCUCAUUUCAUUUCUUAGUGACACGCUAGGUAGGAAGUGUCAGGGAGCGGCCUUGCAGACGGGAAGACCUAGACUUCGGUUGGGUAACUUGUUCAAGAUCACACAGCUGUUGAGGGUAGAGCUGGCCUUUGACCUCUGGCCGGAUUCCAAGGCCAUCCUGGCCCACUUCUCACCCCGAAUAAGUCCUGCUGCUGCAGUAUUUACGUUCAUGUUGACCUUUGCUGUUCGGAGCAUUUUCCCUGUGCCUUGGCCUGUGCCCCUGGGGCUUGGGCCUGUCGGAUGUGCUGUUUCAGCCUGCCCUGGUGGGUUUCCACACGGAGCUGCCUGACAUUUGAUUCCACCCACAGGCCUUUGCUGACAACACCUCCUCCAUAUGGAAGGCCAUUUGACGUGCUUCAGAGUGGCAAUAUCCAACCCGUUCUCUAAAGCCCAACUUCUGUGCCAUCUCCCGAACGAUGUCCCUCUAAACUCAUUCGCCUCCAGAUUCCCAGACUCACUUUGUGAACCUCCUCUGAAGGAUUUAGCACGUUAUUUCCUGCAUGUACAGUAACUCGCAUAUGCAACUUGCUUACGUGGUUGAGGGCAGGGACUGUACUGCAGUGGUGUUCGUAUCUCUCCAGCUCCUAACAGAGGAACUUACACAUGAGAAACUCUCAAGGCACCAGCUGUGAAGGCCAGCUGGGGAGAGCCUAGCCUGUCUGUGCUGAGUUCCCAUUUAGGCUCAAAGACUAGAUCCAACGUGGAAGAACAUGGUUUUUUGGCUUCCAAACCAGGUAACUCUGGGCAUCAGACCACAAUCUUCUUAUCAGACCACAACAUUAGUAUUUGCCACCUUGGACAUCACAGGUACAGAGUCAAAGAGGACCAGCACCGCAAAUCCGUUGAAAAGGCCUGGACUGUUGUUACUGAGUUGGUAUUGCAAACUUGGUGGGUGCAAACGGUGAGGUGUAUUUUUUCUUUUUCUUUUUUUCAUUGCUUUAUGAGCCAGGUCAACAUAAGCACCGAGGAGAGAUGCCUGGAUCGCUCCCAAAGAGGAGGCAAUAUGGGCAUAAUUUUCAAGUUAUCCCUGAUGGAAAUUUCCAUGAAUGUGUCUUUGGAUUGAGGGGUCAGUUGAUUGGAUUCAUAUGGAAGUCUGCAAAGGGCUCUGAGUAACCAGUCUCCUUCACUUUUUUGUUUAUGUUUUUCCUCUUCAUUCACUCUUUCUUACUGAGAUAUAAUUCACAUUCCAUGAAACCCUUUUAAAGUGUGCGAUUUGGUGGCAGUUAUCAUAUUCACAAACUUGUACAGCCCUCAUCACCAUCUUUCCAGAACAUUUUCAUCACCUCUGAAAGAGGUGAUGAAACUCCCCACCCACCUCAAGCCCCCAACCCUGGGAACCACUAAUCUACUCUCUGGUUUACAAUGUUUUGUAAUUUUCGUGGUACGAGUCUUG